rnacentral:ncRNA from 1 species
UUAAAGGCCUGGUCCAUUACCUUAUUAUCAACUAUUACAUAAUUUAUACAUGCAAGUAUCCGCACCCCUGUGAGAACGCCCAAACCCCUAAUCAGGACAAGGAGCUGGUAUCAGGCCCAGAGAAUUCUAGCCCAUUACACCUAGCUUAAGCCACACCCUCAAGGGUAUUCAGCAGUAAUAAACCUUGAAUAUAAGCGCAAGCUUGAUUCAGUUAUAGUACACUAGAGCCGGCCAAUUCGGUGCCAGCCGCCGCGGCUACACCGCUAAAGCUCAAGUUGAUAAAAAACGGCGUCAAGCGUGUUUAAAGUCAAUUCUAUUCUAGAGUUAAAUUAUUAAUCAUCUAGUGAUAUGCUGAUUACUAAGAAAACCAUAAACGAAAGUUGCUCUAAAAAUAAAACUUGAAUCCACGAAAGCUAAGAAACAAACUGGGAUUAGAUACCCCAUUAUGCUUAGCCGUAAAAUAUUAAUUACACUAAAACCGCCAAAGAACUACAAGCGCAAGCUUAAAACUUAAAGGACUUGACGGUGUCCCAUCUACCUAGAGGAGCCUGUUCUAUAAUCGAUAAUCCUCGUUAUAUCUUACCUUUUUUUGCUAAUCAGUCUGUAUACUUCCGUCGUAAGCUUACCAUAUGAAUGCAUCAGUAAGUUAAAUAGUAAUAUUAUUACCAAAACGUCAGGUCAAAGUGCAGCCUACAAAAAGGGAAGAAAUGGGCUACAAUUUCUACUUUAGAACACACGAAUUUAAGUAACUGAAAACUACUAUGAAGGCGGAUUUAGAAGUAAAGCGAAAAUAAAGUGUUCGCUUUAACAAUGCUCUGGGACGUGUACACACCGCCCGUCAUCCUCUUCAACAUUUUAAAAAAAUUUUUAUAAAUAAUAACAAAUAUAUAAUAAGAAGAGGCAAGUCGUAACACGGUAAGUAUACUGGAAAGUGUACUUGGACAU